rnacentral:rRNA from 1 species
ACGAGAGCUUCGGCUCUAGUGGCGGACGGGUGAGUAACGCGUAGGAAUCUAUCCAUGGGUGGGGGAUAACAUCGGGAAACUGGUGCUAAUACCGCAUGAUACCUGAGGGUCAAAGGCGCAAGUCGCCUGUGGAGGAGCCUGCGUUCGAUUAGCUAGUUGGUGGGGUAAAGGCCUACCAAGGCGAUGAUCGAUAGCUGGUUUGAGAGGAUGAUCAGCCACACUGGGACUGAGACACGGCCCAG